rnacentral:piRNA from 1 species
UGUUGUGGCUGCCGCGGGGAGAUGGCU